GGCUUGUUGGUUAGUAUUUCAGGUCUGGCCUGCCCAAUGAGGAGUUUAAUGGCCGCGGUAUAUUGACCGUGCAAAGGUAGCAUAAUCAUUAGUUUUUUAAUUGAAAGCUUGUAUGAAAGGUUUGAUGAGAAAAUUUCUGUCUCUGCAAAGAUUAAAUAGAAUUUUAUUUUUAAGUGAAAAAGCUUAGAUAGGUAUAGAAGACGAGAAGACCCUAUAGAGUUUUAUAUUUAGCUAAAAUUUGGAUUUUUAGGUUUUAAAGAUUCUAGUGUUAUCUAGGUAUUUUGUUGGGGUGAUAGGAAAAUUUAGUAAACUUUUCUUUAUUUAACCACUAAUGUGUGAGUGGAUGAUCCUGAAGUUUAGGUUAUAAGAUUAAAUUACCUUAGGGAUAACAGCGUAAUCUUUUUUAGAGUUCUUAUCGAAAGAAAGGGUUGCGACCUCGAUGUUGGAUUAAAAUUUAUUGCUGGUGUAGAAGCUGGUAGGUUAGGUCUGUUCGACCUUUAAAAUUUUACAUGAUCUGAGUUUAGACCGGCGUGAG
rnacentral:rRNA from 1 species